UGGCUUUUACUGCUACUCAACCCCAAAAUCCCUAAUUCCAAAAUCGUAAAUCAACACCAGCAGCCUCCCUCUGCUCUAUCUGCUCCCGGCUCCACUGCUCCAGCUCCACCAGCGUCCAACUGAUUCGCUGAAACACUUUGAGCAUCGUCGUGAUUCGUGAAGAUUGAAGAGCUCUCGUCUAGCUGAUUAAUCACCAGCGUCCAACCGAGUCGUGAUUCGCUGAAACACUUCUACUGCUCCCGUCCAGCUGAGCCUCUGAGUCUGCGUCCAACUGAGCGUAAAGCUGAAACACUUCUGUGUUUUCUCAACUCACCCUCAGCCAUUUCAGAUUUGUGCUAUUUCGAGAGGCAAGAUCUAUCCGUUCAACUUUCAAGACUUUAAAGUUCAAGCCCGUACCAAUUUGGAAAUAAAAUAUCAGCUGAAGCAUGAAGGUGAAAGUGAUGAUUAUCACGCUAGAAAUUUGGAUGGAACCUCACAGAAUAUCGAAUUUGAUGGUUUUAAUGAUUAUGACUUGUUUGUAUCAAAUUACAAUAAUAUGAAUCAGAAGUAACCGUUGAUGCAUAUUUGGCUGAACCUGUCUUACCUCGAACAUCCGAUUUUGACAUUUUGAGUUAGUGGAAAUUGAAUGGUGUCAAGUAUCCAAUUUUACAAGAAUUUGCAAGAGACAUAUUAGCCAUCCCACUAUCUAGUGUUGCAUCAGAGUCUGCUUUUAGUACCUGUGGUAGGAUUGUAAGCCCAUAUCGUAACAAACUUCAUCCAAAAAUGAUAGAGGCUUUGAUGUGCGCUCAAAAUUGGAUUGCAACUGAAGUUUGACAGGUACUAGCACGGGAAAAGAAAUGGUUACACAUUUAGUAACUGUUUUAGAAGAUGCAGACAAUUCUGAUGAAGAUGGCAUGGUGACUAAGGAAUGAAUACAACUAAGAAUGGGAUAAUGCCAAGAAAGGUGAAAGAUUUGAUUGUGAAGUCAUUGAAGAGAGAAUGACGAGUUUUAUUGAAUUUUAAGUUGUAUGCUUAUUUGAAUGUAUCAGACAUUUGCCUUUAAUUGACUUCUUUAUUCAAACUUUAUUGAA